rnacentral:rRNA from 1 species
AACGAACGCUGGCGGCAUGCCUAACACAUGCAAGUCGAACGAGACCUUCGGGUCUAGUGGCGCACGUGUGCGUAACGCGUGGGAACCUGCCCUUAGGUUCGGAAUAACUCCCCGAAAGGGGUGCUAAUACCGGAUAAUGUCUUCGGACCAAAGAUUUAUCGCCUUUGGAUGGGCCCGCGUUGGAUUAGCUAGUUGGUAGGGUAAAAGCCUACCAAGGCGACGAUCCAUAGCUGGUCUGAGAGGAUGAUCAGCCACACUGAGACUGAGACACGGCCCAGACUCCUACGGGAGGCAGCAGUGGGGAAUAUUGGACAAUGGGCGAAAGCCUGAUCCAGCAAUGCCGCGUGAGUGAUGAAGGCCUUAGGGUUGUAAAGCUCUUUUACCCGGGAUGAUAAUGACAGUACCGGGAGAAUAAGCUCCGGCUAACUCCGUG